ensembl:snRNA U4 U4 spliceosomal RNA
AGCUUUGAGCAGUGGCAGUAUCGUAGGCAAUGGGGUCUAACCGAGGCAAGAUUAUUGCUAAUUGAAAACUUUUCCCAAUAGGCUUAAUUGUAAUUUAUCACACACCAUAUUCUAUUUCUAGCCCUGACCCUCAUGACUUUUCACACGUCA